rnacentral:rRNA from 1 species
GAUGAACGCUGGCGGCGUGCCUAAUACAUGCAAGUCGAGCGAACGGACGAGAAGCUUGCUUCUCUGAUGUUAGCGGCGGACGGGUGAGUAACACGUGGAUAACCUACCUAUAAGACUGGGAUAACUUCGGGAAACCGGAGCUAAUACCGGAUGAUAUUUUGAACCGCAUGGUUCAAAAGUGAAAGACGGUCUUGCUGUCACUUAUAGAUGGAUCCGCGCUGCAUUAGCUAGUUGGUAAGGUAACGGCUUACCAAGACAACGAUGCAUAGCCGACCUGAGAGGGCGAUCGGCCACACUGGAACUGAGACACGGUCCAGACUCCUACGGGAGGCAGCAGUAGGGAAUCUUCCGCAAUGGGCGAAAGCCUGACGGAGCAACGCCGCGUGAGUGAUGAAGGUCUUCGGAUCGUAAAACUCUGUUAUUAGGGAAGAACAUAUGUGUAAGUAACUGUGCACAUCUUGACGGUACCUAAUCAGAAAGCCACGGCUAACUACGUG